rnacentral:tRNA from 2 species
GCCCGGGUGGCGAAAUUGGUAUACGCGCACGACUUAAAAUCGUGUGGAGCAAUCCGUGCGGGUUCGACCCCCGCCCUGGGCA